rnacentral:rRNA from 1 species
ACGAACGCUGGCGGCAUGCCUAACACCUGCAAGUCGAACGAGACCUUCGGGUCUAGUGGCGCACGGGUGCGUAACGCGUGGGAACCUGCCCUUAGGUUCGGAAUAACUCCCCGAAAGGGGUGCUAGUACCGGAUAAUGUCUUCGGACCAAAGAUUUAUCGCCUUUGGAUGGGCCCGCGUUGGAUUAGCUAGUUGGUAGGGUAAAAGCCUACCAAGGCGACGAUCCAUAGCUGGUCUGAGAGGAUGAUCAGCCACACUGGGACUGAGACACGGCCCAGACUCCUACGGGAGGCAGCAGUGGGGAAUAUUGGACAAUGGGCGAAAGCCUGAUCCAGCAAUGCCGCGUGAGUGAUGAAGGCCUUAGGGUUGUAAAGCUCUUUUACCCGGGAUGAUAAUGACAGUACCGGGAGAAUAAGCUCCGGCUAACUCCGU